rnacentral:sRNA from 12 species
GGAGGACGUGGGGAUCAAGGGUUGGUACACGUCUCCGCCCUCCUCACGGACUCC